UACGUAGGGGGCAAGCGUUAUCCGGAUUUACUGGGUGUAAAGGGAGCGUAGACGGCAGUGCAAGUCUGAUGUGAAACCCCGGGGCUCAACCCCGGGCAUGCAUUGGAAACUGGCGGGCUGGAGUGCCGGAGAGGUAAGCGGAAUUCCUAGUGUAGCGGUGAAAUGCGUAGAUAUUAGGAGGAACACCAGUGGCGAAGGCGGCUUACUGGACGGCAACUGACGCUGAGGCUCGAAAGCGUGGGGAGCAAACAGG
rnacentral:rRNA from 1 species